AGUUGAAAUUGGUGAUGGUGAUGAUGGGGCUCACAUGAAAUGAUGUUUACGAAGUUUUGUUUUGUUGUAUCGAGAUAUGUAAUUUUUUUUUUUGCGGGUCCCACCAAUAUGAUUUUGCACCCAAAAAGCUUUUGGCCUUUAUUGUCUUCACGUGGGCUGAAUUAGGGUGUUUUUAAGUUAUGUCAGAUGGAGAUUUGAACUUAAACAAAUGUAAAGAUAAGGUAAUAAUGUGGUGGGAUCCACUGAUUGAUAUUUGGAGUAAAGUUUGUGGUGUUAUGCUUUAUGCACGUGGGUUGUUAGCAGAUUUUGUGUGAAAUUAGUGCCCUGCCUAUAUAUUUAGUGUUUAAGACUUUGGUAAGAGAACAAAGAAGAGAAAAAUUAGAGAAGAUUGAGAGAGGGCCGAGAUUGAGGAUACAGAGUGAGUUGAGAGAGAGACGGAGAGGAGCCGAGAGUUGCAGAGAGGUCCGAGAGUCUACAGAGGAGGUCUUGGAGCUUGAGGUUAUGAUGAUCUAGUGAGGAAAUUUUUUUUUCAAAGGCCGGGAAAGAAAAUAGUGGAUGCUAAACCCUCUCAAGCAUGAAGAGAACUAAAGAUCUAUUUUGAUACAUUUUGUGUUUUGGUUAAAUUUUUGUAAAGUUUCAAAUUAUGGAAAAGAGUAUUAAUUUAUUUUAUCAUGGCCAUGUAACAUAACUAAGGUACUUGACUAUUUUUUUGGAUGUAAAUUGAGACUAUGUAAAUGCUUAAGUUGAAUGGGAUGACGAUGAUGGGCCAA